GUGCACUUAGCUUAGUUGGUAAAAAGCAUCAAUCUUGAAGUUUGAGGACGUGGGUUUGAAACCCAUAGUGCACA
rfam:Puccinia triticina 1-1 BBBD Race 1 supercont2.14566, whole genome shotgun sequence.